UACAGAGGUGGCAAGCGUUGUUCGGAAUUACUGGGCGUAAAGGGCGCGUAGGCGGUCCGAUAAGUCCUGUGUGAAAUCCCUCGGCUCAACUGAGGAACUGCACGGGAGACUGUCGGGCUUGAGUUCGGGAGAGGGAAGCGGAAUUCCGGGUGUAGCGGUGAAAUGCGUAGAUAUCCGGAGGAGCACCGGUGGCGAAGGCGGCUUCCUGGACCGACACUGACGCUGAGGCGCGAAAGCCAGGGGAGCAAACGGG
rnacentral:rRNA from 1 species